GAGAGAUAACGAGAGACACCACACAACAUAGAGAGCGGGGGAUUGUGUUUUGUGAUGUGCUGCAACACACUCACAGUCUCACAUCAGAAUAUGUUUAUCCAUGUUUCUCAAACAUCACAUUUCGAAGUUGUUCCAAACGUCAAAUUUCGAAGUGUUUGGUUACUUUUCUGUAUCGUUCCAGGGUUAAGUUUAGGCAUUAACUCAAUUCUAAAGGUUAGGCAUUAUGUCAGAACAGUUAAGGUAAGGGUUAAGGUUUGGGAUAGGCUUGAAAUAAAAAUACCAGACACACCCAUCCUGCGUCCCAGUCACAACGACCUUGUAGGGACCGACGCCUGAGAUGAGAAGCAGGUACGGAGAGUCAACAUUUAGUCGUGAACAGACAGGUAGCACGACAGGCACAGCGUCGGCACACGGGUAAACAAGGACAUACGACAAUCAGUGCUGAAUCAGGGAACAGAGUUGGGAACUAGACAUAUAUAGGGAAGGUAAUGACAGAGGUGAUUGAGUCCAGGUGAGUCCAAUAAUUGAUGAUGCGCGUGACGGGGGAAGGCAGGUGUGUGUAAUGAUGUUGGCAGGAGUGCGCAAUUCUGGGGAGCCUGGCGCCCUCGAGCACCAAGGGGGAAGAGCGGGAGCAGGCGUGACAGCCCUAGCAAAACCAAAGCCUACUUGAGGUAACAGCGCUCAGUGUUGCCCCUAGUGGCUGGUUUCUACGUCAUGUUCCAACAUCCGCAGACAUGGAUGGACGUCGAAUACUGACUUGUAUCAUGGGUGACCUGCCUGGAUGUGAGUAAGUGAAGAAGGUUUGUCUCUGAUAUAGGGGGUUAUUCCAGAGGCCACCAAGUCACUCAGCCCUGCCCUCGAGUCCAAUGCUCUCAGCGACCAGAAUACCAGGGAGGCCAGGGGAACAAGAAGAGUCUGUGGGAAUUGGAGGAGGUGGGCUCUGGAGGUCCUACCCAUCCUGCCCUUCACUGCCACCAUUACACUGAUUCUCCAUUUCUUCUUUAUAUGGCUGAACUUGUUCUACUGGAGUAAGUUCUCGGGCCCGAACGGCGUUGCCAUGGAGAUCCUGCGCGUGUGCAUCGGCGUCUCCCUUUUCACCAACAAGCUGUACAGCCGCAACGAGGACCAAUACUACUGGAGAGAGAUGACAACACACUCAACCUGCCAGGUUUACUCUGAUGACUAUGAUUCAGAAGACAAGGCAGAUAAAAUCAAGAACCCCAACUCCCUGCAGAACUCUCUACAGAGUGGUAAAUUCUUUAAACAUCAAUAUACAGCCAUGUCCUUUAUCAGACACUUCACCCAAAGACACUUCCAGUUAACAUAAUGUGCUAGUAACAUAUAUGGUAUAACAUAACAUAGUGACCUAUACAUGUGAGAACCCACAACCUUGGUGGUGAACCCACAACCGAUCUUUCCCUCUCCAUGAUGGUGAAGGCUGAUUCAUCACUCCAGAGAACGCGUUUCCACUGCUCCAGA